rnacentral:rRNA from 2 species
GUAGGGUGCGAGCGUUAAUCGGAAUUACUGGGCGUAAAGCGUGCGCAGGCGGUUUUGUAAGCCAGAUGUGAAAUCCCCGGGCUUAACCUGGGAAUGGCAUUUGGGACUGCAAGGCUGGAGUUUGGCAGAGGAGACUGGAAUUCCCGGUGUAGCAGUGAAAUGCGUAGAUAUCGGGAGGAAUACCGAUGGCGAAGGCAGGUCUCUGGGCUAUAACUGACGCUCAUGCACGAAAGCGUGGGGAGCAAACAGGAUUAGAUACCCUGGUAGUCCACGCCCUAAACGAUGUCGACUGGUUGUUGGGGGUUUGACACUCUCAGUAACGAAGCUAACGCGUGAAGUCGACCGCCUGGGGAGUACGGCCGCAAGGUUA